CUAAACCUACGGGGCGCAGCAGUGGGGAAUAUUGGGCAAUGGGCGCAAGCCUGACCCAGCAACGCCGCGUGAAGGAAGAAGGCUUUCGGGUUGUAAACUUCUUUUCUGAGGGACGAAGAAAGUGACGGUACCUCAGGAAUAAGCCACGGCUAACUACGUGCCAGCAGCCGCGGUAAUACGUAGGGGGCAAGCGUUAUCCGGAUUUACUGGGUGUAAAGGGAGCGUAGACGGAAAGGCAAGUCAGAAGUUAAAGCCCAAGGCUCAACCAUGGGACUGCUUUUGAAACUGUCAAACUAGAGUACGGG
rnacentral:rRNA from 1 species